rnacentral:rRNA from 1 species
UACGUAGGUGACAAGCGUUGUCCGGAUUUACUGGGCGUAAAGCGCACGUAGGCGGCUUCUUAAGUCAGGGGUGAAAUCCUGGAGCUCAACUCCAGAACUGCCUUUGAUACUGGGAAGCUUGAGUCCGGGAGAGGUGAGUGGAACUGCGAGUGUAGAGGUGAAAUUCGUAGAUAUUCGCAAGAACACCAGUGGCGAAGGCGGCUCACUGGCCCGAUACUGACGCUGAGGCACGAAAGCGUGGGGAGCAAACAGG